rnacentral:snRNA from 1 species
GUGUUCACUUUGGCCACACAUGUACUAACAUUGGAACGAUACAGGGAAGAUUAGCAUGCCCCUCUGAGCAAGGAUGGCACGCCAAUUUGUGAAGUGUUCUGUAUUGUU